rnacentral:lncRNA from 1 species
AAUCAUCACCAAACAUCACAUAGAUCACUUUUCUCACCCCAAAUCAAGGAAAGAAAAAGAAAAAUUUUUGAAGGGUUGAAGACCCAAAUUUUCGAAAAUUUUGAAGAAUAAGAGAGGGGGUGAUUUCUUGCUUCAAUCCUUCAAAUAUACUCAUAUACAAACUCAUACAAGUCUAAUCUAUGAAUAUAGAGAUCACUUAC